rnacentral:lncRNA from 1 species
GGCAAAUCUGAUGUUCAGUUCAAGUAUUUAUUGAAUCAGGCACCGUGCUAGGUCCUCUGAAACAGUUUCUGUACAACCUCAAGGAACUCAGGAGCUAGAAUCUCCCCUCGAGGCAAGAAAGGACCCAGGACUCUGCUCAGGGUGGGGCUGGGAACAGGUUGGGCUGAUUUGCAGGGACUGGUCUCGGAUUAAGGGAGACCAAAGUCACUGUGUUUGGAGAAAGAAGACUCGGGAAACAUAGACUGCUUAUAGCGUCAGAUCCAAGCGGUUGGGUGUGGGGGUAAAAGAGUGAAGACUGGAACAUUGUGAGGGCGGUGCCAUUUUUGUAUUUUCCAUCAUUGUACUCACAGCAUGUCUGGUUCACCAAAAGUUCAAACACUGUGUACACCCACAUCUUGUCGACUUGAAGUAGCUCAAUUAUUCUGUGGCGUUCAUGGGGCAGCGUGUAUGAUUCCCAUUUUACCAACUGAGAAAACAGACUCCAGAAGAAGUGCUGAUGUCCUACAGGUCCCAGAGGUCAAAGAGGUGAGUUGUGGUUGAGCUGGGUCGAUCUG